UUAGAAUUGUGAUGGUGGCUUUCAAGACAGUGUUCUGCAUUUGCCAUAUCUGGGAAGUUUUUUGAAAAUAAUCAAGGGUGUCUAUGCAGCCAGAUGACCUCAAAAGUGGAAGAAAAUGAGAUUGAAAAAGAUUUCCUCACCACCUGCAUAGUAGUGAAAGCUUCCAGUGAGUGAUAUUCAAAAGAGAUACAGAAGGCAGAAGAAAAAGACCGUAUUUUAUGUUGUCAGCUCUAAACAAGAUCAUGGGUAUUUCUGGAAAGGACUCAAGGUGUUGGUGAGCCAGGGGAAGAAUCUGUUUGCAAGAGGGAGAACCACAAGUUGAUAGAAAGUCCCGGGACUGAGAUGAUUUUUGGUUAAUUGCAACUUUAAAGGAAGUCUCAUGUGAUGCAAGACACAUUUUUAUCUGUGGAGCUCUCUGGUUUUCAAGAGCAUGAGAAAACAACAUAGAUGACUGACUGAUGAAAUUGGUAAGAACAUGAUUUGGGGUAAGCAUGUUAAUACAUCAAUAUGACAGUAUGAGAAAGGGGAUUUUAAAAGAUGUUAUAUUUAAAUAUUGGGCAGAAACCAGCAAAAUGAAGUUUUACAAGUAUAUGAUUUCUUUUUUUCUCCCAAGUAUAUAUUUCUUUUCAGAGAAUUUAUUUUGUUACAUAAUCUUCCCAAUCCCAAUCUGAACUCUCGGUAAAUGCUCAUUCUUGUCAUUGUUUUACCAGUGAUCUUUAGGAGAAAUAUUCACUGGUUUAACAGGCUCCUUGUCCCAUUACCUAGUGUCUCGAGAUGCCAGGGCAUGCUCUCUUAUAUACUCCUUUUGUGUCCUCAGACAAGGGAGGAUACUACAGCCUUAGUCUCAGUACUGAAAUGCAGCUUAAGUGACAUACCAUCAAUAAUUUGCAUAACGUUCAUCCCACUUUUUGGAACCUCUUCUAAGGGAGUACGUUAAAAUGUGGGAGACAAAAACAUAUGCAUGACUGUGUUUUCCAAAACAAGCUAUAUAAAAAAAUGAAAUACUAUAAACAACCAAAAAUACAUAGCAGAUCCUCUGAAAGACACAUUGUGCUCUUCUUUGAAAUGGUGGCUAUGAAGAAAUGCAGCACUGUGCAAAUGUUUAUGCGAUAAUAGUAAUAGCUUUUAGAGAACACAGAUUUAUAUUUUUUCCUUAAUUACAUUCUAUAAAAUUUAAAUUCUUAGGAAAAAUACUGGAAGGAAAUACCUAAAGUUAUUAACCCAGUAUUAGAAUAGAAUUGUGAUGAUUUUAAAUUUUAUUUUAUCUAAUAUUACAUAUAUAUGUGCUUUUGCUUCUGUUUAUAUUGUAGUAUUUUAUUACAUACAUUGUAUGGUACAGCUUGAACAACACUAUCCUAUGGAGCUCUGUAGGCAGAAAACCCCCUUCACCACACAUUUUCUUUCUGUGCCCUGUCUUUAUGCUAUUACUCAAUCUUGUGUAUGCUUUUAUGUAUCUGCCAAUUUUCACAAUGAAAUUUUAAUUUCUCUUGAGGGCAAAAUUUAGGUUUUAUUUCCUAAGGCCAUCCUUUUGCAGUGCUUUGCACAAA